UACGGAGGGUGCGAGCGUUAAUCGGAAUAACUGGGCGUAAAGGGCACGCAGGCGGGCUUUUAAGUGAGAUGUGAAAUCCCCGGGCUUAACCUGGGAAUAGCAUUUCAGACUGGGAGUCUAGAGUACUUUAGGGGGGGGGAGAAUUCCACGUGUAGCGGUGAAAUGCGUAGAGAUGGGGAGGAAUACCGACGGCGAAGGCGACCUUCUGGCCAUAAACUGACGCUGAGGGACGAAAGCGUGGGUAGCAAACGGG
rnacentral:rRNA from 1 species